rnacentral:lncRNA from 1 species
CAACAUCUGCAGAAUAUGAUAGGAAACAAAAACAUCUGUUUUCAGUGCCUUUGCUGUAUUGUGUCUUUACAGUGGCUCACGUGCAGACCUGAAGCCAUGCCAUCUUGGGAUGCUUUCUCCUUUUUUAUGUGUAAAAAGCCUUGAGCAAGCUUGAUACUCAAAGGAAAGCAUGCAUGAUUCUGUUGGCCUGUUCUGUAUCUGCCGAGGAAAUUCACCUUCCCUUCCACCUCUCAGGGGCUUGAGAAUGCCAGACUGGGAGAUGAAGCCUCACGAGAGCAGGGGAGCAAGUCGUACUCUCUCAAUUUUGGUCUACAGGAUGAUUUUGCACAGCCUGGUGUGCAACUCUCCAAGGUAUUAUCUCCUACAUACAAAAUUGAUGGUGCUUGUGACCUCUUUUAUAAACAUAUUUUGACAACUACUGAUGAAAAUUAUUGCUUAAGAUCUGGAGGAAUGAGUGAACCAAAGGACCUCAUAACAAGGGAAAAUGAAGCGUGGGACUAUCUGUGGAAAAUUUAAGGUACAAGUACAGUAAAUAUUCCUUUGGUCCCUCUUCUGACACCAUUUAUAGCCUGUCUGAAUAUAUAGAGGGACGCUUGUUUUUGUAUGGAUUGUGUUAUUUCUUUAUCUUGUUCACAUUUCUCCUCAAAGACCAGGAAAUCAGAAGCGUCAGCUACUGGGGAGGCAAACACAAAUCCUACAACUAAUCCCAGAAAUUUCAUUUUGAGAAAGAAACUGUCAUUUCAUUACGAAAUGAAAGUGGUCUUUCUCUGCUGCAGGC